rnacentral:rRNA from 1 species
ACGCUAGCUACAGGCUUAACACAUGCAAGUCGAGGGGAAACGACAUCGAAAGCUUGCUUUUGAUGGGCGUCGACCGGCGCACGGGUGAGUAACGCGUAUCCAACCUGCCCACCACUUGGGGAUAACCUUGCGAAAGUAAGACUAAUACCCAAUGAUAUCUCUAGAAGACAUCUGAAAGAGAUUAAAGAUUUAUCGGUGAUGGAUGGGGAUGCGUCUGAUUAGCUUGUUGGCGGGGUAACGGCCCACCAAGGCGACGAUCAGUAGGGGUUCUGAGAGGAAGGUCCCCCACAUUGGAACUGAGACACGGUCCAAACUCCUACGGGAGGCAGCAGUGAGGAAUAUUGGUCAAUGGACGAGAGUCUGAACCAGCCAAGUAGCGUGCAGGAUGACGGCCCUAUGGGUUGUAAACUGCUUUUAUAAGGGAAUAAAGUGAGUCUCGUGAGACUUUUUGCAUGUACCUUAUGAAUAAGGACCGGCUAAUUCCGUGCCAGCAGCCGCGGUAAUACGGAAGGUCCGGGCGUUAUCCGGAUUUAUUGGGUUUAAAGGGAGCGUAGGCCGGAGAUUAAGCGUGUUGUGAAAUGUAGACGCUCAACGUCUGCACUGCAGCGCGAACUGGUUUCCUUGAGUACGCACAAAGUGGGCGGAAUUCGUGGUGUAGCGGUGAAAUGCUUAGAUAUCACGAAGAACUCCGAUUGCGAAGGCAGCUCACUGGAGCGCAACUGACGCUGAAGCUCGAAAGUGCGGGUAUCGAACAGGAUUAGAUACCCUGGUAGUCCGCACGGUAAACGAUGGAUGCCCGCUGUUGGUCUGAAUAGGUCAGCGGCCAAGCGAAAGCAUUAAGCAUCCCACCUGGGGAGUACGCCGGCAACGGUGAAACUCAAAUG